rnacentral:rRNA from 1 species
AACUGACCUCAGACAGGUAG